GAUGAACGCUGGCGGCGUGCCUAAUACAUGCAAGUCGAGCGAACGGACGAGAAGCUUGCUUCUCUGAUGUUAGCGGCGGACGGGUGAGUAACACGUGGAUGACCUACCUAUAAGACUGGGAUAACUUCGGGAAACCGGAGCUAAUACCGGAUGAUAUUUUGAACCGCAUGGUUCAAAAGUGAAAGACGGUCUUGCUGUCACUUAUAGAUGGAUCCGCGCUGCAUUAGCUAGUUGGUAAGGUAACGGCUUACCAAGGCAACGAUGCAUAGCCGACCUGAGAGGGUGAUCGGCCACACUGGAACUGAGACACGGUCCAGACUCCUACGGGAGGCAGCAGUAGGGAAUCUUCCGCAAUGGACGAAAGCCUGACGGAGCAACGCCGCGUGAGUGAUGAAGGUCUUCGGAUCGUAAAACUCUGUUAUUAGGGAAGAACAUAUGUGUAAGUAACUGUGCACAUCUUGACGGUACCUAAUCAGAAAGCCACGGCUAACUACGUG
rnacentral:rRNA from 1 species